AAAAAUUUAGUUUGAUAUUUUGAAAAAAGAAAACAAUAAAAAUAAAAAAACUUAUUAUUGUAUCAACUGUCAGACUAACCAUGAAUGCAUGACAGAAUAGUUUUGUAGUUAUCACAUAAAAAAAUCUAAGAUAAUUAAUGAGAAAUGCUAUAUUGGGUCAAAGUCUACAGAACUUUCCAGCUAUAAUCUAUCAUUAAUAAAUUUUGCAAUUAAUAUCCCCACUAUAACCUGUUCGCCACCUUAUGCUCAUUGCUCUUCACACAUAAUAGGAAGCUUUUGAUUAAUUUCUGUGAAAAAAAAAAAAAAAAAANN
rnacentral:lncRNA from 1 species